rfam:Ovis aries breed Texel chromosome 15, whole genome shotgun sequence.
UCCCUGGUAUCUCAGACGGUAAAGAGUCUGCCUGCAAUGCAGGGGACCCGGGUUUGAUCCCUGGGUCGGGAA